CACACUAUCAUUAACUGAAUCCAUAGGUUAAUGAGGCGAACCGGGGGAACUGAAACAUCUAAGUACCCCGAGGAAAAGAAAUCAACCGAGAUUCCCCCAGUAGCGGCGAGCGAACGGGGAGGAGCCCAGAGCCUGAAUCAGUGUGUGUGUUAGUGGAAGCGUCUGGAAAGGCGCGCGAUACAGGGUGACAGCCCCGUACACAAAAAUGCACAUACUGUGAGCUCGAUGAGUAGGGCGGGACACGUGGUAUCCUGUCUGAAUAUGGGGGGACCAUCCUCCAAGGCUAAAUACUCCUGACUGACCGAUAGUGAACCAGUACCGUGAGGGAAAGGCGAAAAGAACCCCGGCGAGGGGAGUGAAAAAGAACCUGAAACCGUGUACGUACAAGCAGUGGGAGCCUCUUAAUGGGGUGACUGCGUACCUUUUGUAUAAUGGGUCAGCGACUUAUAUUCUGUAGCAAGGUUAACCGAAUAGGGGAGCCGAAGGGAAACCGAGUCUUAACUGGGCGUUAAGUUGCAGGGUAUAGACCCGAAACCCGGUGAUCUAGCCAUGGGCAGGUUGAAGGUUGGGUAACACUAACUGGAGGACCGAACCGACUAAUGUUGAAAAAUUAGCGGAUGACUUGUGGCUGGGGGUGAAAGGCCAAUCAAACCGGGAGAUAGCUGGUUCUCCCCGAAAGCUAUUUAGGUAGCGCCUCGUGAAUUCAUCUCCGGGGGUAGAGCACUGUUUCGGCAAGGGGGUCAUCCCGACUUACCAACCCGAUGCAAACUGCGAAUACCGGAGAAUGUUAUCACGGGAGACACACGGCGGGUGCUAACGUCCGUCGUGAAGAGGGAAACAACCCAGACCGCCAGCUAAGGUCCCAAAGUCAUGGUUAAGUGGGAAACGAUGUGGGAAGGCCCAGACAGCCAGGAUGUUGGCUUAGAAGCAGCCAUCAUUUAAAGAAAGCGUAAUAGCUCACUGGUCGAGUCGGCCUGCGCGGAAGAUGUAACGGGGCUAAACCAUGCACCGAAGCUGCGGCAGCGACACUAUGUGUUGUUGGGUAGGGGAGCGUUCUGUAAGCCUGUGAAGGUGUACUGUGAGGUAUGCUGGAGGUAUCAGAAGUGCGAAUGCUGACAUAAGUAACGAUAAAGCGGGUGAAAAGCCCGCUCGCCGGAAGACCAAGGGUUCCUGUCCAACGUUAAUCGGGGCAGGGUGAGUCGACCCCUAAGGCGAGGCCGAAAGGCGUAGUCGAUGGGAAACAGGUUAAUAUUCCUGUACUUGGUGUUACUGCGAAGGGGGGACGGAGAAGGCUAUGUUGGCCGGGCGACGGUUGUCCCGGUUUAAGCGUGUAGGCUGGUUUUCCAGGCAAAUCCGGAAAAUCAAGGCUGAGGCGUGAUGACGAGGCACUACGGUGCUGAAGCGACAAAUGCCCUGCUUCCAGGAAAAGCCUCUAAGCAUCAGGUAACAUCAAAUCGUACCCCAAACCGACACAGGUGGUCAGGUAGAGAAUACCAAGGCGCUUGAGAGAACUCGGGUGAAGGAACUAGGCAAAAUGGUGCCGUAACUUCGGGAGAAGGCACGCUGAUAUGUAGGUGAAGCGACUUGCUCGUGGAGCUGAAAUCAGUCGAAGAUACCAGCUGGCUGCAACUGUUUAUUAAAAACACAGCACUGUGCAAACACGAAAGUGGACGUAUACGGUGUGACGCCUGCCCGGUGCCGGAAGGUUAAUUGAUGGGGUUAGCGGUAACGCGAAGCUCUUGAUCGAAGCCCCGGUAAACGGCGGCCGUAACUAUAACGGUCCUAAGGUAGCGAAAUUCCUUGUCGGGUAAGUUCCGACCUGCACGAAUGGCGUAAUGAUGGCCAGGCUGUCUCCACCCGAGACUCAGUGAAAUUGAACUCGCUGUGAAGAUGCAGUGUACCCGCGGCAAGACGGAAAGACCCCGUGAACCUUUACUAUAGCUUGACACUGAACAUUGAGCCUUGAUGUGUAGGAUAGGUGGGAGGCUUUGAAGUGUGGACGCCAGUCUGCAUGGAGCCGACCUUGAAAUACCACCCUUUAAUGUUUGAUGUUCUAACGUGGGCCCCUUACCGGGGUUGCGGACAGUGUCUGGUGGGUAGUUUGACUGGGGCGGUCUCCUCCUAAAGAGUAACGGAGGAGCACGAAGGUUGGCUAAUCCUGGUCGGACAUCAGGAGGUUAGUGCAAUGGCAUAAGCCAGCUUGACUGCGAGCGUGACGGCGCGAGCAGGUGCGAAAGCAGGUCAUAGUGAUCCGGUGGUUCUGAAUGGAAGGGCCAUCGCUCAACGGAUAAAAGGUACUCCGGGGAUAACAGGCUGAUACCGCCCAAGAGUUCAUAUCGACGGCGGUGUUUGGCACCUCGAUGUCGGCUCAUCACAUCCUGGGGCUGAAGUAGGUCCCAAGGGUAUGGCUGUUCGCCAUUUAAAGUGGUACGCGAGCUGGGUUUAGAACGUCGUGAGACAGUUCGGUCCCUAUCUGCCGUGGGCGCUGGAGAACUGAGGGGGGCUGCUCCUAGUACGAGAGGACCGGAGUGGACGCAUCACUGGUGUUCGGGUUGUCAUGCCAAUGGCACUGCCCGGUAGCUAAAUGCGGAAGAGAUAAGUGCUGAAAGCAUCUAAGCACGAAACUUGCCCCGAGAUGAGUUCUCCCUGACUCCUUGAGAGUCCUGAAGGAACGUUGAAGACGACGACGUUGAUAGGCCGGGUGUGUAAGCGCAGCGAUGCGUUGAGCUAACCGGUACUAAUGAACCGUGAGGCUUAACCUUACAACGCCGAAG
rnacentral:rRNA from 1 species